rnacentral:rRNA from 1 species
UACGUAGGUGACAAGCGUUGUCCGGAAUUACUGGGCGUAAAGAGCUCGUAGGCGGUUUGUCGCGUCUGCCCGUGAAAGUCCGGGGCUCAACUCCGGAUCUGCGGUGGGUACGGGCAGACGUAGAGUGAUGUAGGGGGAGACUGGGAAUUCCUGGUGUAGCGGUGAAAUGCGCAGAGUAUCAGGAGGAACACCGGUGGCGA